UUUUAAUGCGAGUUUGAUCCUGGCUCAGGACGAACGCUGGCGGCGUGCCUA
rnacentral:rRNA from 1 species